rnacentral:rRNA from 1 species
UGAGGAAUUUUGCGCAAUGGGCGAAAGCCUGACGCAGCGACGCCGCGUGGAGGAAGACGGCCUUCGGGUUGUAAACUCCUGUCAGAGGUGAAGAACGCCCGCAAGGGCUUGACGGUAACCUCAGAGGAAGCCCCGGCUAACUACGUGCCAGCAGCCGCGGUAAUACGUAGGGGGCGAGCGUUGCUCGGAAUUACUGGGCGUAAAGGGAGUGCAGGCGGCCGGUUAAGUCGAAGAUGAAAUCCCGAGGCUCAACUUCGGAACGGUCUUUGAUACUGAUCGGCUUGGGGCUAAUUGAGGAGAGCGGAAUUCCCGGUGGAGCGGUGAAAUGCGUAGAUAUCGGGGGGAACACCAGAGGCGAAGGCGGCUCUCUAAACUAGUCCUGACGCUGAGACUCGAAAGCUAGGGGAGCAAACGG